rnacentral:rRNA from 1 species
UGGGGAAUUUUGGACGAAUUGGGCGAAAGCCUGAUCCAGCAAUGCCGCGUGUGUGAAGAAGGCCUUCGGGUUGUAAAGCACUUUUGUCCGGGAAGAAAUCCUUGGCUCUAAUACAGUCGGGGGAUGACGGUACCGGAAGAAUAAGCACCGGCUAACUACGUGCCAGCAGCCGCGGUAAUACGUAGGGUGCAAGCGUUAAUCGGAAUUACUGGGCGUAAAGCGUGCGCAGGCGGUUUGCUAAGACCGAUGUGAAAAUCCCCGGGCUCAACCUGGGAACUGCAUUGGUGACUGGCAGGCUAGAGUAUGGCAGAGGGGGGUAGAAUUCCACGUGUAGCAGUGAAAUGCGUAGAGAUGUGGAGGAAUACCGAUGGCGAAGGCAGCCCCCUGGGCCAAGUACUGACGCUCAUGCACG